AAAUAGACAGGAAGCCCCCCUCAAGAUGGGAUUUCCCAGGAUGUAAGACCCCUUGUAGACGACGAGGUUGAUAGGUUGGGGGUGGAAGUGCCGCAAGGCAUGGAGCUGACCAAUACUAAUCGGUCGAGGGCUUAUCCAA
rfam:Paenibacillus sp. TI45-13ar contig00067, whole genome shotgun sequence.